rnacentral:rRNA from 1 species
AGACCGCCGGUGACAAACCGGAUGAAGGUGGGAUGACGUCAAAGUCAUCAUGCCCCUUAUGACCUGGGCUACGACGCGUGCUACAAUGGCCGGUACAAAGAGUCGCAAAACCGGCGAGGUGGAGCUAAUCUCACAAAACCGGUCUCAGUUCAGAUUGUAGUCUGCAACUCGACUACAUGAAGGUGGAAUCGCUAGUAAUCGCAAAUCAGCAUGUUGCGGUGAAUACGUUCUCGAGUCCUU